rnacentral:rRNA from 1 species
UAGGAAUCUGCCCUAUAGAGGGGGAUAACCCGAGGAAACUCGGGCUAAUACCGCAUACCCUUUACGAAGGAAAGCUGGGGCAACCUGGCGCUAUAGGAGGAGCCUGCGUCUGAUUAGCUAGUUGGUGGGGUAAAAGCCUACCAAGGCGACGAUCGUUAGCCGGCCUGAGAGGGUGAUCGGCCACACUGGAACUGAGACACGGUCCAGACUCCGUACGGGAGGCAG